rnacentral:rRNA from 1 species
AGUCCUACCAGAAAGUCCCUUCGGGGAUGAGUAAAGUGGCCAACGGGUGAGUAAUACCUGGGUAACCUGCCUUUACCACGGGGAUAACAUUCCGAAAGGGGUGCUAAUACCGGAUAACACCACAAUACGGGAGUAUCGUGGGAAAACGAUGGCCUCUGACUUAUGCUAUCGCGUACAGAUGGGCCCACGGCCUAUCAACUUGUUGGCGGGGUAACGGCCCACCAAGGCUUCAACGGGUAGCCGGCCUGACAGGGUGAACGGCCACACUGGAACUGAGACACGGUCCAGACUCCUACUGGAGGCAGCACUGGGGAAUUUUGCACAAUGGGCGAAAGCCUGAUGCAGCAACGCCUCGUGAGGGACGAAGGCAUUCGGGUUGUACACCUCUUUUAAUCGGGAAGAACCCCUCCCCUGUAAAUAAUGGGGGAGACUGACGGUACCGAUAGAAUAAGCCACGGUUAAAUCUGUGCCAGCAGCCGCGGUAAUAUAGAGGUGGCGAGCGUUGUUCAGAUUUAUUGGGCGUAAAGAGCGCGUAGGCGGUCCUGUAAGUCGGUGGUGAAAUCCCGGGGCUUAACCCCGGAAUUGCCCUGGAUACUGCUGGACUUGAGUGCGGGAGAGGAUAGUGGAAUUCCUAGUGUAGAGGUGAAAUUCGUAGAUAUUAGGAAGAACACCAGUGGAGAAGGCAGCUAUCUGGACCGCAACUGACGUUGAGGCGCGAAAGCGUGGGGAGCAAACAGGAUUAGAUACCUUGGUAGUCCACGCCGUAAAUGAUGGACACUAGGUGUGGGAGGUAUCGACCCCUUCCGUGCCGUAGCAAACGCAUUAAGUGUCC